AAUGAACGCUGGCGGCGGGCCUAAAACAUGCAAGUCGAACGCCUGUAGCAAUACAGGAGUGGCGCACGGGUGCGUAACACGUGGGAAUAUGCCUAUUGGUACGGAACAGCUCCGGGAAACUGGAAUUAAUACCGUAUGGUCCCUUCGGGGUAAAGAUUUAUCGCCAAUAGAUUAGCCCGCGGUGGAUUAGCUAGUUGGUAGGGUAAUGGCCUACCAAGGCGACGAUCCAUAGCUGGUCUGAGAGGACGAUCAGCCACACUGGGACUGAGACACGGCCCAGACUCCUACGGGAGGCAGCAGUUAGGAAUAUUGGACAAUGGGCGCAAGCCUGAUCCAGCCAUGCCGCGUGAAUGAUGAAGGCCUUCGGGUUGUAAAACUCUUUAGCCGAUGAAUAUAAUGACUGUAGUCGGAAAAUAAGCCCCGGCUAACUUCGUGCCAGCCGCCGCGGUAA
rnacentral:rRNA from 1 species